GCAUCUAUGGCCAAGUGGUAAGGCGUCUCUUUAGUAAGGAGAAGAUCGUGCGUUCGAACCGCACUAGAUGCA
rfam:Ostreococcus tauri virus 2, complete genome